AAAACGGUUCUUUUAAGAACCACUCUUGCUUUGGAAAAUUGGAAA
rfam:Stegodyphus mimosarum contig31111, whole genome shotgun sequence.